CGCCGUCGCCAGGGCUCCGGCCGGCGCGGCGCGCGGGGCUUGCCGGUUGCCGUGGCAGCGGCCGCGGCGCAGGGCGGCCCGGCCGGCUGUGGGGCCCCGCCGGGGGAGGUGGGGAGCGGGCCGCGGCCCUGGGCCCUCCGCCCGGCCCCGCCGUGCUGCUGCUGGGGGAGCCCGACCGCCCGCGAGGGGCGGCGGCGGGGCGCCGAGGCCUGAGCUGGCGUCCCGCUGUGCCGCAGGCUGCUCCCGGGGACGGCGGGCUGCUGAGUGGAGCCUGGCUUGGGUGGGCACAGUUGCCUUCUAUGGAGAUCCCGCCUGGUUUUACUGCUGCAGUGGCCGAGGGCGGUUCCCGGUCGGUCUGGAGUGACACCAGAUGUUGUUAACGGGGCUCCGAUUCACGGUGCUUUUGACCGCGAAACCGGACACGUCCUGAGUUUUGCCCUUGCCCCCUUCGGACACUGGAAGCUGCUCUAUGGUCUCCCCGGAGCCUUCUCUUAUCCAGCCUGAACAAGCCCAGCUCCCUCAGCCUGUCUUCACCAGGGAGCUGCUCCAGUUCCCUGAUCACCUUCAUGGCUUCUUCUGGACUUGCUCCAGCAGCUCCACGUCCUUCUUAUGUUGAGGACACCAGAACUGUACACAGUACUCCAAGUGAGGUCUCACGAGAGCAGAGUGGAGGGGCAGGAUCACCUCCUUCGACCUGCUGGUCACGCUUCUUUUGAUGCAGCCCGGGAUACAGUUGGCUUUCUGGGCUGCGAGUGCUUGGAAUGCAUCUAAAUGUUUGCAAAAUAAAGAGGUCUUCAGAAAAACCUCUGGCUGAAUGGUAUUUGCCCAGUUGGGAUGACCUGUUGAUUAGGUAGAGCUGGGCAAGAAUUUUCUGGCACCAUCUAUUUCUAGCAGAAAGGAAUUUCGACAGAGUCAAAUGUUAUGUUUUUAAAAAUCCGAUGUUGCAAUGUUUUCUUUAAAAUGUAACAAUGUUAACUGUCUUUUAGACUAUGUUUAUACUCUCAAAAUAAUCAAAUCUACCAGUGAGACAGAAAAAUCUAGCUCCUAACCGAACCUACAGUCCAGGAUUUCUGGACCGACAUAUUUUUCUACAGAACACUGAAAAUAGCCUAUUUACUGCAGAACACACUCUUUUCUUUAGCAUUUUCUUUUAUGUUCCUUAGCAUAAUGUUUACUGUUGCUUAACUUUUCGUUGUUAUUUGAAUAAAAAAAGUCUUCAUGAAACAAACAUAGAAACAAACUGUUAAUGUGUUUUAUUACACUGUUUUAAAUUCCCCUCUGUCUUAAAAAAGUCAGACAAGUGAAAUGAUAAGAAGUAUAGGCACCUUGCCUCUGAAUUCCCAUUUUUAACAGAAGAUCAGUUAGCUCGAUUAAUGCAAGUAAUGUAAUAUUGCAAGUAGGUUUUGCUUCAAUUCCGUCUGGUUUUGCAGGCCUUGCAUUUCAGAUGAUUUAAAAACAGGCUAUUACAGCACUGAUCAUGUUAAGCAAACAGGUAUCAAAGAAAUACUAGAAUUAAAGGAGCUAGCAUUUGCUAUGCAAGAUUGAAACUCCCACUGACAGCCUAAGAUAUUUAAGGCAUGGAUAUGAAGCUGUGAGCUCUGACACGCGUAGAGACCCAUGCCCAAGUGACUGUUGUAGACCAAAGAGGAUACCAUAGAGCAUAGAAAUACAUUAGAUGCUUGUGCUAAGAAUGAAUGAUCUCCUGGACAUCUGAAGGGACAGAAGAACAGGUGCACUAGUGAAUGAGUUCAAACCAGCAUUAAUCAUGUGGAUGUUUCAAAGAAUAGGAUAGAGAAAUGUGAAGCAAAGAAGAAAAGUCUACAGAAAAGAUAUGUGGAACUGUGAGGCUGAGGAAUUUUAAUAAGAUGUGAGAGCAGAUCAGAAUGCUGAAAACACUGAGCAAGUGGCAGAAGAUGAUAUGCAUUUCAAGAAUGUUGCAGAG